GCUCAAUUCCCCAUUGGAAAGCAUUUUCAACUCGACAGAUUGUGAAGAUGUAAAAGAUAAUGCCGCGCAUGCGCAUUAGGUCUCCCGGCCGAUGGGCGGGGAUCAGUCGUGCCCACCGGCCGACGUAAUACAGAGGAGAAGCAGCGACGUGGGACAUGUCGCUGCCUCUGGUAAGUUACUGAAGGGGUUUUCACCCCUUCAGCAACCAGGGAUUGAG